CCUGGCGGCCUAAUAUCUCCGUGGUCCCACCUGACCCCAUGCCGAACUCAGAAGUGAAACGCCGUAGCGCCGAUGGUAGUGUGGGGUCUCCCCAUGCGAGAGUAGGGAACUGCCAGGC
rnacentral:rRNA from 1 species